GACCCAGUGGUGGAAUGAAUCACACCUGCAUUCAGUAUCACACUCCAAGCGAAGGUGCAGCGGGAGCUCCCGGUUCGAAUCCGGGCUGGGCCA